rnacentral:ncRNA from 1 species
CUGAAGGAUUAUAUCGAAGAAUCAAAUGAUAGGGUAACGCCUUGAAGGGUUCUCUCUUAGUCGAAUAGCACUGAAUUUAGUAAGAAUGAUAGUGUUAUAAGCUCGGUGAAUAGGCGUGAGAAAUUACGGUACCAGUUCGGCUGACAAAGCCUACUCGAUGGAGUGGUGUAAUUCAUGAUGCUUGAAUUGAAUGA